rnacentral:rRNA from 1 species
UCCCGCCAGAGCACUACGAGCCACAGCUUAAAACUCAAAGGACUUGGCGGUGCCCUACACCCACCUAGAGGAGCCUGUUCUAUAAUUGAUAAUCCCCAAUAAACCUCACCACCUCUUGUACAAUACAGCCUAUAUACCACCGUCGCAAGCCCACCCUAUUAAAGGAAAAACAGUAGGCUAAACAAUUAAAAAUAAAAAAGUCAGGUCAAGGUGUAGCAUAUGAGUCGGAAAGAAAUGGGCUACAUUUUCUUUAAAGAAAACACGGAAAACUUUAUGAAAUAAAGUAUGAAGGAGGAUUUAGCAGUAAAAAGAGAAUAGAGAGCUCUUUUAAAAUUGGCAAUAGGACGAGCACACACCGCCCGUCACCCUCUUUAAAUAACAAAAUAAAUAAAUAAAAAAAUUUAACUUUUUAGAAGAGGAAAGUCGUAACAUGGUAAGUCUACCGGAAGGUGGCCUUGGAA